rnacentral:tRNA from 1 species
GGUGGCUCAGUGGUAGAGUGCUUGUCUUGUAUGCAUGAAGCCCUGGGUUCAAUUCCUCAGCACCA